CUCCGUCCACCGCCCCCUGACCGUCCUGGAUAGUCAGGCGGGCCCCAGGAUGGACCAGGAGCCGCCGUGGCAGAUGGAGGCAGACAGCCCCGCUCAGCGGAGGAGAUUCUGGAAGGGUGUUUGGAGAGUAGUUUUCAAACAUCUGGCCUACGCGGUCAUGAGCCAGGACUUCUAUCACGUCUUUGAAAUCGUUCAGGAUUUCGAGGACGAGGAGGAGGAGGAUGAAGAGGAGGACGACGAGGGAGAGGAAGAAGAGAAGGCGGAGGAG